UACGUAGGGGGCAAGCGUUGUCCGGAUUUAUUGGGCGUAAAGAGCGUGUAGGCGGUCAGGUAGGUCCGUUGUGAAAACUCGAGGCUCAACCUCGAGACGCCGAUGGAAACCAUCUAGCUAGAGUCCGGAAGAGGAGAGUGGAAUUCCUGGUGUAGCGGUGAAAUGCGCAGAUAUCAGGAGGAACACCGAUUGCGAAGGCAGCUCGCUGGGACGUUACUGACGCUGAGACGCGAAAGCGUGGGGAGCGAACAGG
rnacentral:rRNA from 1 species